UGGGUGUUGUGGGUUUGGCCCUUUUCUUCCACAUUUCGGUUUUGAUGUUUGAAAAUAGUUUGGAACCAGAGUUUGAUGAUGUUAUUGGGGCUGGACAUUGCUUGAGUUGAAUGGUAUAAUGUUAUUUUCGUUUUUUGCAUAAGAGCUUGAAGAAAUGGAAGAUUGGGUUGAGUUGAAGUAGUAGUAGUGUGGGUUUAUUGUCUUGAAUGGUGUUGCAACUUGAAAUGGGGUUUCUUGG
rnacentral:lncRNA from 1 species